rnacentral:rRNA from 1 species
GCGUGCGGGAAGAAGGCCCUCGGGUUGUAAACCGCUUUCAGAUGGAAAGAAAUGGUGUAGGUUAAUAACCUGCAUUGAUGACGGUACCAUCAGAAGAAGCACCGGCUAACUACGUGCCAGCAGCCGCGGUAAUACGUAGGGUGCGAGCGUUAAUCGGAAUUACUGGGCGUAAAGCGUGCGCAGGCGGUUCUUUAAGACAGGUGUGAAAUCCCCGGGCUUAACCUGGGAAUUGCGCUUGUGACUGGAGGGCUAGAGUGUGGCAGAGGGGAAUGGAAUUCCUGGUGUAGCAGUGAAAUGCGU